AUGAUGUAUUUGGGAGGCAGUGAAGCUAUGUCAAACAUUGACAGAGAUAAGCUUUCUUUGCCCGAGCUUUUGGGGCAUUUAAGAGACCAUUGCACUGAUGUGGAGGGGAUACAAUGUCAGUUUUAUUGGUUAGUUCCAAGAAAAGAGAUGAAUGAUGGACUUGUUUUUCUACAUGAUGACAACACUGUUCUUAAGAUGGCUGAGUUUGCUUGUGAUGGAGGAGUUGCAUAUGUGUAUGUUGAGAAGCAUGCUCCUGCUGAUGGGGAAGAAACAGUUGCAACAGCAUGCUCUGCUGGAGAGGAAGAGAAACAGUUCACCCCUUUAAGUGUAGUUAUGCCAGAAGAGCAAGUGCACAGUGAUUAUAUACCUGAUGAUGAGUCAACAUCUGAGGAUGAUGAAGAAGCAAGAAAGAUCAAUGCUGACUAUGUAGAGUACAAGAAGAAAUUCAGGGCUGGCAACAUUGACAUUUUAGAUGAAGUGUUCAUUACAGAUGCAGCAGUAGGUUCAAGGGAAAAUGUUGGAGAGGAUGCAGCUGCUGAAAGCUACUCAAACAGCUUAGAUUUUGAUGACUCUUUUGAAGAAAACAGUGAUGGAGAGGCUAUCAGCAAACCAAAAAAAUAUCCUUUGUACAAAGACAGAGGAGAAGUACCAGAGUUCUGUCUUGGAAUGAAAUUUGAAUCAAAGGAAGAGUUCAGAAAAGCAAUAAUUACUUAUGGACUGCAUCACGGAAGGUUAAUUAGGUUUAAGAAAAAUGAUUCUGUAAGGUGCAGAGCAGAGUGUGAUUGGGGGACAUGUCCCUGGUUCUGUUUACUAAGUAGGACAAGUAGGUGCAAUAGUUGGCAGGUGACAUCUUUCAUAGAUAAACAUUGUUGCCCAAAAAGGAAGGACAACAAGCUGGUCACUUCAGUGAGGAUUGCACAAAAAUAUGAUAAGCUCAUUAGAGGCCACCCAGGAUGGAAGAUUGACAGCUUGAAAGCACAUGUGCAAGAGGACAUGUUUGCAAAUGUGAGCACAUCACAAAUUUAG
rnacentral:rRNA from 1 species